rnacentral:rRNA from 1 species
UACGUAGGGUGCAAGCGUUAAUCGGAAUUACUGGGCGUAAAGCGUGCGCAGGCGGUUUGUAAGUCAGAUGUGAAAUCCCCGGGCUUAACCUGGGAACUGCGUUUGAAACUACAAGGCUAGAGUGUGACAGAGGGGGGUGGAAUUCCACGUGUAGCAGUGAAAUGCGUAGAGAUGUGGAGGAACACCGAUGGCGAAGGCAGCCCCCUGGGUUAACACUGACGCUCAGGCACGAAAGCGUGGGGAGCAAACAGG